rnacentral:rRNA from 1 species
GACGAACGCUGGCGGCGUGCUUAACACAUGCAAGUCGAACGGAAAGGCCUGCUUUCCCUUGUGGAUUGCGGGUACUCGAGUGGCGAACGGGUGAGUAACACGUGAGUGAUCUGCCCCCAACUUGGGUAUAAGCCUGGGAAACUGGGUCUAAUUCCCGAUAGGACUGCAGGGUGGUGCCUGUGGUGGAAAACGAUUUUCUAGUGGUUGGGGAUGAGCUCGCGGCCUAUCAGCUUGUUGGUGGGGUAAUGGCCUACCAAGGCGGCGACGGGUAGCCGGCCUGAGAGGGUGGACGGCCACAUUGGGACUGAGAUACGGCCCAGACUCCUACGGGAGGCAGCAGUGGGGAAUAGUGCACAAUGGGCGGAAGCCUGAUGCAGCGACGCCGCGUGGGGGAUGACGGCCUUCGGGUGGUAAACUCCUUUCGACCGCGAGGAAGCCACCUGGUUGGAAGGGUGGUGACGGUAGUGGUAGAAGAAGCACUGGCUAACUACGUG